rnacentral:rRNA from 1 species
UAAAAGGAGCUCUAAACAGAUCCAAAUCGCCGGGCAGUGCAGGGUAAGGGCAGAAGUGGCGGCAGCUGGCGGGCGCGGCUAGAGCAGCGGCCGUUGUGGCACACGCUACCAAAACCAUAGUCGGGGGCAGCCGGGAGCAGUACAGAUACUAAGCCUACACCUCCACCAACUUGGCCUUUAAGAUUGGCUGGGAUAACAGCUCUCCAAUUUAAAUCAACUUCUUCUUUUGUUAAUGAACUUCCUUUUUUAUUUUUUUUAACUCCUCCUCUUCUACUAUAACCUCAACGUACAACGCCUACAGCAGCUACUAGUGUUCUAGUUCUACCUACGUUACGCGAACUUCUAAUCUUUCUAAUCUUUUAUACGGUAAGUAUGGCUCCGAACCAUAGUAAUACGGCAACCUAGUUAACAAUGGAACC